rnacentral:rRNA from 1 species
AACGAACGCUGGCGGCAGGCCUAACACAUGCAAGUCGAGCGCUCACCUUCGGGUGGGAGCGGCGCACGGGUGAGUAACACGUGGGAACCUACCUUGAAGUACGGAAUAACUGAGGGAAACUUCAGCUAAUACCGUAUACGCCCUACGGGGGAAAGAUUUAUCGCUUCAGGACGGGCCCGCGUUGGAUUAGCUAGUUGGUGAGGUAAUGGCUCACCAAGGCAACGAUCCAUAGCUGAUUUGAGAGAAUGAUCAGCCACACUGGGACUGAGACACGGCCCAGACUCCUACGGGAGGCAGCAGUGGGGAAUAUUGGACAGUGGGCGCAAGCCUGAUCCAGCCAUGCCGCGUGAGUGAAGAAGGCCUUCGGGUUGUAAAGCUCUUUCAGAUGGGACGAUGAUGACGGUACCAUCAGAAGAAGCCCCGGCUAACUCCGUGCCAGCCGCCGCCGUAAAAC